rnacentral:rRNA from 1 species
GACGAACGCUGGCGGCGUGCUUAACACAUGCAAGUCGAACGGAGUGGCGAACGGGUGAGUAACACGUGGGUGACCUGCCCUGCACUUCGGGAUAAGCCUGGGAAACUGGGUCUAAUACCGGAUAGUGUGGGAUGGGCCGGCGGCCUAUCAGCUUGUUGGUGGGGUAAUGGCCUACCAAGGCGGCGACGGGUAGCCGGCCUGAGAGGGUAGACGGCGACAUUGGUACUGCGACACGGCCCAGAGUCCUACGGGAGGCAGCAGUGGAGAAUAUUGAACAAUUGGCGGAAGCCUGAUGCAGCGACGCCGCGUGGGGGAUGACGGCCUUCGGGUUGUAAACUCCUUUCACCAUCGACGCGGUAGAUGGAGAAGAAGCACCGGCUAACUACGUGCCAGCAGCCGCGGUAAUUC